CCUACGGGCGGCAGCAGUGGGGAAUAUUGGACAAUGGGGGGAACCCUGAUCCAGCCAUGCCGCGUGUGUGAAGAAGGCCCUCGGGUUGUAAAGCACUUUCAGUGAGGAAGAACGCCUGGUGGUUAAUACCCAUCAGGAAAGACAUCACUCACAGAAGAAGCACCGGCUAACUCCGUGCCAGCAGCCGCGGUAAUACGGAGGGUGCGAGCGUUAAUCGGAAUUACUGGGCGUAAAGCGUGCGUAGGUGGCUUGAUAAGCCGGUUGUGAAAGCCCCGGGCUCAACCUGGGAACGGCAUCCGGAACUGUCAAGCUAGAGUGCAGGAGAGGAAGGUAGAAUUCCCGGUGUAGCGGUGAAAUGCGUAGAGAUCGGGAGGAAUACCAGUGGCGAAGGCGGCCUUCUGGACUGACACUGACACUGAGGUGCGAAAGCGUGGGUAGCAAACAGGAUUAGAUACCCUGGUAGUC
rnacentral:rRNA from 1 species